AUCCAUUUCUCUUCCAUGUCGGCUCCCUCCACCUCCUUUCUUUCUCUUCAUCCUCCUCUAAGCUGCUUAUAAAUCUAUCCCUCCAUGGCAUUCUCCUCUACCUCUAUUCUUUUCCGUCGGCAAUUCAUCUUCCCCUCCCCUUCCUCUUCAUUCUCUUUUCUUCCUUGUCCUCUUUCUCCUUCUUCAAUCUAUUCCUCGUUGGCCAUCCUUCUCUCCUCCCAUUCCUCCUUAUCUACUCUUUCUCCUCAUCCUCUUCCUUCUCCAAACCUCCUCCAUAAAUGAG
rnacentral:lncRNA from 1 species